rnacentral:rRNA from 1 species
UAUAAACGAUAAACCACGUAAAAUCUUUCUUGUCCUUGUAUAGUUAGUAUACCUUCAUUAUUAGAUAAUUUGAGGAUAUAAAUUGUUGARAUUGGUUGGARCCRARAAUAUUAGAUCAUGGUGCUGCUUAUGGAUGAGUAAAAAUGGGUUACAAUAAAAUUUUAUUUAUAACGGAGYUKAUGAAGAAUUUUGUAAGUGAAGGUGGAUUCAAUUGUAAUUUAAAUUUUAAUAAGUGGGGUGAUAUAG